CCCUUAGAUGUCCUGGGCCGCACGCGCGCUACACUGAGUGUCUGAGAUACGAGUCUGCCUGGUCCGGCAAGGUCUAGGUAAUCGCUAAAAGACACAUCAUGCUUGGGAUAGAUUAUUGCAAUUAUUAAUCUUGAACGAGGAAUUCCUAGUAAACGCAAAUCAUCAAUUUGCAUUGAUUACGUCCCUGCCCUUUGUACACACCGCCCGUCGCACCUACCGAUUGAAUGGUCCGGUGAAGCCUCGGGAUUGUGGCCAGUUCACUUUAUUGGGAGUUGGCUGCGAGAACUUGUCUAAACCUUAUCAUUUAGAGGAAGGUGAAGUCGUAACA
rnacentral:rRNA from 1 species